rnacentral:lncRNA from 10 species
CUCAGGGAACCAGGCUGGAGAACAAAGGAAGACUCAGAAUCAUUUUUAUUUUCCUUUGGCUGUGUAAAAGAAUCCAGGGCAAUUUGGAAAGAGGUGGCAUUUAUGGGUUUCUUGCUUUAAAACAAAACAAAACAAAACAAAACAAAACAAAACAAACAAAACAAAACACAUCCCCCUCCAGGGUAUACCGUGAGUGAACAGGAUGAAGAGUUAUUCUUAAAAUCAGAAU